rnacentral:rRNA from 1 species
UACGUAGGGGGCAAGCGUUGUCCGGAUUUAUUGGGCGUAAAGAGCUCGUAGGCGGCCGUCCACGUCGGAUGUGAAAGCUCGGGGCUCAACCCUGAGAGGCCAUUCGAUACGGGACGGCUAGAGGCAGGUAGGGGAGAUUGGAAUUCCUGGUGUAGCGGUGAAAUGCGCAGAUAUCAGGAGGAACACCGGUGGCGAAGGCGGAUCUCUGGGCCUUGCCUGACGCUGAGGAGCGAAAGCUGGGGGAGCGAACAGG